rnacentral:rRNA from 1 species
GCGGACUGGCGAGUAACACUGGCGUAGCCUGCCUGCAGACUGGCACGGUCCUGGAUCCGGGUUUCAUACCAUACGCUUGUUUGACCCUCAAGUUUCAACAGCGAUCCGGCUUCGGCUACCACUUACGGAUGGAGCUUCGGCGCACUAUCUAGUUGCCCUUUGUUCUGCUCUUGUGGCAACUAUGCAUACCAGACCUGAGAGGGUGAUCGGCCACACUGUGACUGACACCUUGCCCCGACUCCUACCGGAGGCUCCACUUAGGAAUCCUCCGUGAUGGACGAAAGUCUGAAUGAGCGGCUGCGCUCGAGUGAUGACUGUUUUCGGAUCCUCACGCUCUGUUGUUAGGGAAGAACAAGUACCGUUCGAAUAGGGCGGUACCUUGACGGUACCUAACCAGAAAGCCACGGCUAACUACGUGCCAGCAGCCGCGGUAAUACGUAUGUGGCAAGCGUUGUCCCGAAUUAUUGCGCGUAAAGGGCUCGCAGGCGGUUUCUUUGUCUGAUGUGAAAGCCCCCGGCUCAACCGGGGAGGGUCAUUGGAAACUGGGGAACUUGAGUGCAGAAGAGGAGAGUGGAAUUCCACGUGUAGCGGUGAAAAUGCGUAGAGAUGUGGAGGAACACCAGUGGCGAAGGCGACUCUCUGGUCUGUAACUGACGCUGAUGAGCGAAAACGUGGGGAGCGAACAGGAUUAGAUACCCUGGGAGUCCUCGCCGUAAAAAAUGAGUGCUAAGUGUUACGGGGGUUUUCUCCCCCUUAUUGCUGCACCAACUCAUUAAGAACUUCCCCCGGGGGAGUAGGGUCGCUACACUUAAACUUAAAAGAAUUGACUGGGAGCCCGCUCAGCGCUGGAACAUGUGGUUUAUUUGAAGCCUACCUAAUAACCUUACUCGUGCUGGCAUCCUCUGACAUCUUCAAGAUAGGAAUCCUCUUCGUGCGGCACAAUUACAGCGGUGCAUGGUCUUUCCUCACAUCGGCCUUACAUUUGAGAUAAUUCCUCAACAACGCAACGCUGCAUCUAAUUGUCAUCAUU